ACCACCGUCUCUUGUCUCUCCCCCUCUCUCUUUGAGUAGUGAGAACAGUACGUAGUAGCUUUUUGUGGUUGUACCCUUCUUUUUCAACCUCUUCUUCCUUGCUUUUUAGUACUUGUAUUUAAUAAUCUCUAUCUCUCUCUCAAUAAUCUGUAUAUAUAAAAGGAGGUAUAAAACACCCUAACACAAGGCUUGUAGUGUUGGGAUUUUGGUGAAAGAGAAGACCAUAUUUUGGUUAAGGGGUAGUCGUGGAAGAAGCUGAAAAUCAGGAAAGCUAAAGUGUCGUAUCUUCCAUUCUAAUUACUUGGUUAAUUGAAACUUUGUAUGUCUCUCCAAAAAACAGAGGUUCUUUUUUAGCCUUUGACCGACCCAUUGUCCUCUAGAUUUUCUUUAAGGGAGCAUUCUCUCUAGCACUCAUGAGGUUUGCGAAGAUUUAUAAAGCAAACCUUCAAUGGUAUCUUAUUGAACGUCAUCCAUUCAAAAGGAUUAUUUACAGACGUGUUUUUAAGUUUCAAACAAUAAUAUUCAGAUGUCGUGAUGACAAUGAAAAAGCAAGAAUGCAUGGACACUUUUGCUUUAUCUCACCAGAUGUAGCGUUUUUAUUCUCGACAAGCUUCAAGAAUCUCACGAGAAGUUGGGCAUCAAAUGUUGUGCUGUAACACUUUUGGAAAAUGAUGAAACUACUAAUGUAGGAUUAUUUGUUACCAAGAAAGCCAACGAACGUGGUCCAGCUAAUCAUGUACUAGCGCAGACAUACUGCUUGAGAGCAUUUUGUAAUAAAGAGAAUGAACCUAAUUCAAAGGAUUGCAUGGAAGAUCAUUACUUUUACUUGUAUGAGUUGAUAAUCAAAUGUUGUAUAUGGAGAGACUAUUCACUGGAGGAGUGUAUGAUUAUGCUUUGGCAAUCUAAAAGCCUUAGCCAUUCUUUCUGCACUUCUCCAAUCAAUGAUGUGUUUCUCAAGGCAUUUGCAAAGCGCUGCCCCCUAUAUAACUCCAUGGAGUACUGAAUAGACUGUUUCACCAUGUUGAAACCGAUUGAUGUUGGUUUUUGGAAUAAUAUGUCGAUAUUUCCUACUGUUCCUUCCCAGCAUUACAACGAUCUUGAUGUUACCGGGCAAGCAGAUGCAAAAGGGUCACGUGUCUGCAAAAUCAGAUUACCUUGUAGCCAAUAUGGCAAUAUACAUUAGAUUUGGAAGAAAGGAUGAUUGCAGAAGGAUUUAUGACUGAUGUACAUCUAAAAAUUCUCUUGAUUGUAAUUUAGGAAUAAUGAAAUUGUAAUCUUUCUAAGUAAUCAUUUUUAUGACAAUUUUUACCUAGGUGAUGAAGUAAAUGUUUGUUGUAUCACCUUAUAGAACUAGUAAUCUUUUGAACUAGAACUCUUCAUAAGUGUAUCGGCUUUUUGUAAAAAGUUUUACAUUUUUUCGCAUCA